ACGGGUGAGUAACGCGUGGGAAUCUACCCAUCCCUACGGAACAACUCCGGGAAACUGGAGCUAAUACCGUAUACGCCCUUCGGGGGAAAGAUUUAUCGGGGAUGGAUGAGCCCGCGUUGGAUUAGCUAGUUGGUGGGGUAAAGGCCUACCAAGGCGACGAUCCAUAGCUGGUCUGAGAGGAUGAUCAGCCACAUUGGGACUGAGACACGGCCCAAACUCCUACGGGAGGCAGCAGUGGGGAAUAUUGGACAAUGGGCGCAAGCCUGAUCCAGCCAUGCCGCGUGAGUGAUGAAGGUCUUAGGAUUGUAAAGCUCUUUCACCGGAGAAGAUAAUGACGGUAUCCGGAGAAGAAGCCCCGGCUAACUUCGUGCCAGCAGCCGCGGUAAUACGAAGGGGGCUAGCGUUGUUCGGAAUUACUGGGCGUAAAGCGCACGUAGGCGGAUAUUUAAGUCAGGGGUGAAAUCCCAGAGCUCAACUCUGGAACUGCCUUUGAUACUGGGUAUCUUGAGUAUGGAAGAGGUAAGUGGAAUUGCGAGUGUAGAGGUGAAAUUCGUAGA
rnacentral:rRNA from 2 species